rnacentral:rRNA from 1 species
CUACAUGAAGCUGGAGUUACUAGUAAUCGCAGCUCAGAAUGCUGCGGUGAAUGCGUUCCCGGGGCAUGUACACACCGCCCGUCACACCACGGGAGUUGGAGACGCCCGAAGCCGAUUAUCUAACCUUGUGGAAGAAGUCGUCGAAGGUGGAAUCAAUAACUGGGGUGAAGUCGUAACAAGGUAGCCGUAUCGGAAGGUGCGGCUGGAUCACCUCCUUUCUAAGGAGA